GAUGAACGCUGGCGGCGUGCCUAAUACAUGCAAGUCGAGCGAACGGACGAGAAGCUUGCUUCUCUGAUGUUAGCGGCGGACGGGUGAGUAACACGUGGAUAACCUACCUAUAAGACUGGGAUAACUUCGGGAAACCGGAGCUAAUACCGGAUGAUAUUUUGAACCGCAUGGUUCAAAAGUGAAAGACGGUCUUGCUGUCACUUAUAGAUGGAUCCGCGCUGCAUUAGCUAGUUGGUAAGGUAACGGCUUACCAAGGCAACGAUGCAUAGCCGACCUGAGAGGGUGAUCGACAACACUGGAACUGAGACACGGUCCAGACUCCUACGGGAGGCAGCAGUAGGGAAUCUUACGCAAUGGGCGAAAGCCUAACGGAGCAACGCCGCGUGAGUGAUGAAGGUCUUCGGAUCGUAAAACUCUGUUAUUAGGGAAGAACAUAUGUGUAAGUAACUGUGCACAUCUUGACGGUACCUAAUCAGAAAGCCACGGCUAACUACGUG
rnacentral:rRNA from 1 species